GGAUGUGAUCAUACUAGCACUAAAGCACCGGAUCCCAUCAGAACUCCAAAGUUAAGCUUGCUUGGGCGAGAGUAGUACUAGGAUGGGUGACCUCCUAGAAAGUCCACGUGUUGCAUUCC
rfam:Triticum aestivum genome assembly, contig: Triticum_aestivum_CS42_TGACv1_scaffold_429515_5BS